rnacentral:rRNA from 1 species
UACGUAGGGUGCGAGCGUUAAUCGGAAUUACUGGGCGUAAAGCGUGCGCAGGCGGCGCGUUAAGACAGGUGUGAAAGCCCCGAGCUUAACUUGGGAAUUGCGCUUGUGACUGGCGUGCUGGAGUGUGGCAGAGGGAGGUGGAAUUCCACGUGUAGCAGUGAAAUGCGUAGAGAUGUGGAGGAACACCGGAUGCGAAGGCAGCCUCCUGGGCCAGCACUGACGCUCAUGCACGAAAAGCGUGGGGAGCAAACAGG